rnacentral:rRNA from 1 species
CUGGGAUUAGAUACCCUGUUAUUAAAAAUGUAAUUAUAAAUACUUAGGUAUUAAUAGUUAUGUUCUUUAAACUUAAAAAAUUUGGCGGUAUUUUAGUCUAUUCAGAGGAACCUGUUUUAUAAUCGAUAUUCCACGAUGGACCUUACUUAAGUUUGUAAUCAGUUUAUAUACCGUUGUUAUUAGAAUAUUUUAUAAGAAUGAUAAUUUUCAUAAUUUUUAAUAAAAAAUAUAUCAAAUCAAGGUGUAGCUAAUAUUUAAGUAAAAAUGGGUUACAAUAAAUUUAUUUAAAUGAAUGUAAAUUUGAAAUAUUUAUUGAAGGUGGAUUUGAUAGUAAAUUUAUAUAGAUUAAUAAUUUGAUUUUAGCUCUAAAAUAUGUACAAAUCGCCCGUCACUCUCU